CCUACGGGGUGCACCAGUGGGGGAUAUUGCACAAUGGGCGCAAGCCUGAUGCAGCCAUGCCGCGUGUAUGAAGAAGGCCUUCGGGUUGUAAAGUACUUUCAGCGGGGAGGAAGGUGUUGAGGUUAAUAACCUCAGCAAUUGACGUUACCCGCAGAAGAAGCACCGGCUAACUCCGUGCCAGCAGCCGCGGUAAUGCGGAGGGUGCAAGCGUUAAUCGGAAUUACUGGGCGUAAAGCGCACGCAGGCGGCCUGUCAAGUCGGAUGUGAAAUCCCCGGGCUCAACCUGGGAACUGCAUUCGAAACUGGCAGGCUAGAGUCUUGUAGAGGGGGGUAGAAUUCCAGGUGUAGCGGUGAAAUGCGUAGAGAUCAGGAGGAAUACCGGUGGCGAAGGCGGCCCCCUGGACAGAGACUGACGCUCAGGUGCGAAAGCGUGGGGAGCAAACAGGAUUAGAUACCCUAGUAGUC
rnacentral:rRNA from 1 species